rnacentral:rRNA from 1 species
CCGCACAAAGCGGUGGAGCAUGUGGUUUAAUUUCGCAGCAACGCGAAGAACCUUACCUACUCUUGACAUCCAGAGAACUUUCCAGAGAUGGAUUGGUGCCUUCGGGAAACUCUGAGACAGGUGCUGCAUGGCUGUCGUCAGCUCGUGUUGUGAAAUGUUGGGUUAAGUCCCGCAACGAGCGCAACCCUUAUCCUUGUUUGCCAGCACGUAAUGGUGGGAACUCCAGGGAGACUGCCGGUGAUAAACCGGAGGAAGGUGGGGACGACGUCAAGUCAUCAUGGCCCUUACGAGUAGGGCUACACACGUGCUACAAUGGCGUAUACAGAGGGCUGCCAACCAGCGAUGGUGAGCGAAUCCCGGAAAGUACGUCGUAGUCCGGAUUGGAGUCUGCAACUCGACUCCAUGAAGUCGGAAUCGCUAGUAAUCGUGAAUCAGAAUGUCACGGUGAAUACGUUCCCGGGCCUUGUACACACCGCCCGUCACACCAUGGGAGUGGGAGGCACCAGAAGUAGAUAGCUUAACCUUCGCGAGGGCGUCUACCACGGUGUGGUUCAUGACUGGGGAGAAGUCGUAACAAGGUAACCAAGGGCGAUGCGG